UACGUAGGUGGCAAGCGUUGUCCGGAUUUACUGGGCGUAAAGGGCGUGCAGGCGGUUUGUUAAGUGCAGGGUGAAAGCUCCCGGCUCAACUGGGAGAGGUCCUUGCAUACUGGCAAACUCGAGGGAGGCAGAGGAAAGUGGAAUUCCCGGUGUAGUGGUGAUAUGCGUAGAUAUUCGGAGGAACACCAGUGGCGAAGGCGGCUCACUGGCUCGGUACUGACGCUGAGGUGCGAAAGCGUGGGGAGCAAACAGG
rnacentral:rRNA from 1 species